UCAUAUGUACAUGUCUACAAUGUUAAUGCAAUGGAUCCCAUUAGAACUCCGUAGUUAAGUGCGCUUGGGCUAGAGUAGUACUGGGAUGGGUGACCUCCCGAGAAGUCCUAGUGUUUUACAUGCC
rfam:Picea glauca, whole genome shotgun sequence.